rnacentral:rRNA from 1 species
UCGCCCGUUCCCGCAGGGGGAUAACCCGGAGAAAUCCGGACUAAUACCGCGUGGUACAUCUGUGGGGCAUCCCACGGGUGUUAAAAGGAAGCGAUUCCGGCGGAGGAUGGGCAUGCGGCGCAUUAGCUAGUUGGCGGGGUAACGGCCCACCAAGGCGACGAUGCGUAGGGGUUCUGAGAGGAAGGUCCCCCACACUGGUACUGAGACACGGACCAGACUCCUACGGAAGGCAGCAG